AUUGAACGCUGGCGGCAUGCCUUACACAUGCAAGUCGAACGGCAGCACGGGUGCUUGCACCUGGUGGCGAGUGGCGAACGGGUGAGUAAUACAUCGGAACAUGUCCUGUAGUGGGGAUAGCCCGGCGAAAGCCGGAUUAAUACCGCAUACGAUCCACGGAUGAACGCGGGGGACCUUCGGGCCUCGCGCUAUAGGGUUGGCCGAUGGCUGAUUAGCUAGUUGGUGGGGUAAAGGCCUACCAAGGCGACGAUCAGUAGCUGGUCUGAGAGGACGACCAGCCAAACUGGGACUGAGACACGGCCCAGACUCCUACGGGAGGCAGCAGUGGGGAAUUUUGGACAAUGGGCGAAAGCCUGAUCCAGCAAUGCCGCGUGUGUGAAGAAGGCCUUCGGGUUGUAAAGCACUUUUGUCCGGAAAGAAAUCCUUGACUCUAAUACAGUCGGGGGAUGACGGUACCGGAAGAAUAAGCACCGGCUAACUACGUG
rnacentral:rRNA from 1 species